rnacentral:rRNA from 1 species
CUACGGGAGGCUCCAGUGGGGAAUAUUGCGCAAUGGGGGAAACCCUGACGCAGCAACGCCGCGUGAGUGAUGAGGGCCUUCGGGUCGUAAAGCUCUGUCAAGUGGGAAGAACCCACCCUGUGCUAAUAUCACAGGGUGCUGACGGUACCACUGAAGGAAGCACCGGCUAACUCCGUGCCAGCAGCCGCGGUAAUACGGAGGGUGCAAGCGUUAUUCGGAAUUACUGGGCGUAAAGGGCGCGUAGGCGGCCUUUUAAGUCAGAUGUGAAAUCCCGGGGCUCAACCCCGGAAGUGCAUCUGAAACUAAGAGGCUUGAGUAUGGGAGAGGGAAGUGGAAUUCCUGGUGUAGAGGUGAAAUUCGUAGAUAUCAGGAGGAACACCGGUGGCGAAGGCGACUUCCUGGACCAAUACUGACGCUGAGGCGCGAAGGCGUGGGGAGCAAACAGGAUUAGAUACCCGUGUAGUC